CCUACGGGCGGCUGCAGUGGGGAAUAUUGGACAAUGGGCGAAAGCCUGAUCCAGCCAUGCCGCGUGUGUGAAGAAGGCCUUCGGGUUGUAAAGCACUUUCAGUGGGGAAGAAAGCCUUGGGGCUAAUACCCUCGAGGAAGGACAUCACCCACAGAAGAAGCACCGGCUAACUCCGUGCCAGCAGCCGCGGUAAUACGGAGGGUGCGAGCGUUAAUCGGAAUUACUGGGCGUAAAGCGCGCGUAGGCGGUCUGAUAAGCCGGUUGUGAAAGCCCCGGGCUCAACCUGGGAACGGCAUCCGGAACUGUCAGGCUAGAGUGCAGGAGAGGAAGGUAGAAUUCCCGGUGUAGCGGUGAAAUGCGUAGAAAUCGGGAGGAAUACCAGUGGCGAAGGCGGCCUUCUGGACUGACACUGACGCUGAGGUGCGAAAGCGUGGGUAGCAAACAGGAUUAGAUACCCCAGUAGUC
rnacentral:rRNA from 1 species